rnacentral:lncRNA from 1 species
CAAAAGAUAACGAAAAUGACUAGCUCUGGCAGCGCCACCGGGCCCCACGCCCUCUUCGUGACCGCUCCCUACCAAGGUCACUUCGCCCCGGCCGUCGACCUCGCCAUCAACCUGGCCGCCAGGGGCUUCGUCGUCACGUUCGCCUGCACAGAGGCCUUCCAACACCAGCGCACCGCCUCCGGUGCCUCCUCCGCGGACCACCGCGACGUCUUCGCCGGCGCACGCUCCAGGGGCCUCGACAUCCGCUACGAGCUCGUCAGCGACGGCCUGCCGGUGUCCUUCGACCGCCAUUCGCACCCCGAGCAGUUCUACUCCGCCCUCCUCCACCUCCUCCCCUCCCACGUCGACGAGCUGAUCCGGAAGCUCCUCCUCUCUGAGGUCCCCGUCGA